GACGAACGCUGGCGGCGUGCUUAACACAUGCAAGUCGAACGGAGUGGCGAACGGGUGAGUAACACGUGGGUGAUCUGCCUUGCUCUUCGGGAUACGCUUGGGAAACUGGGUCUAAUACCGGAAAGUGUAAGAUGAGCCCGCGGCCUAUCAGCUUGUUGGUGGGGUAAUGGCCUACCAAGGCGUCGACGGGUAGCCGGCCUGAGAGGGUGUACGGCCACAUUGGGACUUAGAGACGGCCCAGACGCCUACGGGAGGCAGCGGUGGGGAAUAUUGCACAAUGGGCGGAAGCCUGAGGCAGCGACGCCGCGUGGGGAAUGAAGGCCUUCGGGUUGUAAACUCCUUUCGACAGGGACGCGGUACCUGUAUAAGAAGCACCGGCUAACUACGUGCCAGCAGCCGCGGUAAUUC
rnacentral:rRNA from 1 species